GACGAACGCUGGCGGCGUGCCUAAUACAUGCAAGUUGAGCGCUGAAGGUUGGUACUUGUACCAACUGGAUGAGCAGCGAACGGGUGAGUAACGCGUGGGGAAUCUGCCUUUGAGCGGGGGACAACAUUUGGAAACGAAUGCUAAUACCGCAUAAAAACUUUAAACACAAGUUUUAAGUUUGAAAGAUGCAAUUGCAUCACUCAAAGAUGAUCCCGCGUUGUAUUAGCUAGUUGGUGAGGUAAAGGCUCACCAAGGCGAUGAUACAUAGCCGACCUGAGAGGGUGAUCGGCCACAUUGGGACUGAGACACGGCCCAAACUCCUACGGGAGGCAGCAGUAGGGAAUCUUCGGCGAGGGACGAAAGUCUGACCGAGCAACGCCGCGUGAGUGAAGAAGGUUUUCGGAUCGUAAAACUCUGUUGGUAGAGAAGAACGUUGGUGAGAGUGGAAAGCUCAUCAAGUGACGGUAACUACCCAGAAAGGGACGGCUAACUACGUG
rnacentral:rRNA from 1 species